rnacentral:tRNA from 1 species
GGUUUGUGGCUCAGUGGUAGAGCGCUCGCUUAGCAUGCGCAAGGCCCUGGGUUCGAUCCUCAACACCA